CAGGGUAGUAGCCAGUAGGCUAGUAGUAGCGAUAGUAAGGACCAGUAACUGACAGGGUAGUAGCCAAUAGGCUAGGCUAGUAGUAAGGACCAGUAACUGACAGGGUGGUAGCCAGUAGGCUAGGCUAGUAGUAAGGACCAGUAACUGACAGGGUAGUAGCCAGUAGGCUAGUAGUAGCGUAGUAAGGACCAGUAACUGACAGGGUAGUAGCCAAUAGGCUAGGCUAGUAGUAAGGACCAGUAACUGACAGGGUAGUAGCUAGCAGGCUAGGCUAGUAGUAGCGGUAAUAAGGACCAGUAACUGACAGGGUAGUAGCUAGCAGGCUAGUAGUAAGGACCAGUAACUGACAGGGUAGUAGCCAGUAGGCUAGUAGUAGCAUCAGUAAGGACCAGUAACUGACAGGGUAGUAGCCAAUAGGCUAGGCUAGUAGUAAGGACCAGUAACUGACAGGGUGGUAGCCAGUAGGCUAGGCUAGUAGUAAGGACCAGUAACUGACAGGGUAGUAGCCAGUAGGCUGUAGUAGCGGUAGUAAGGACCAGUAACUGACAGGGUAGUAGCCAAUAGGCUAGGCUAGUAGUAAGGUCCAGUAACUGACAGGGUAGUAGCCAGUAGGCUAGGCUAGUAGUAAGGGCCAGUAACUGACAGGGUAGUAGCCAGUAGGCUAGGCUAGUAGUAAGGGCCAGUAACUGACAGGGUAGUAGCCAGUAGGCUAGGCUAGUAGUAAGGACCAGUAACUGACAGGGUAGUAGCCGGCAGCCUGGGCUGGUAGUAGCAGUAGUAAGGUCCAGUAACUGACAGGGUAGUAGCCAAUAGGCUAGGCUAGUAGUAGCAGUAGUAAGGACCAGUAAUGAACAGGGUAGUAGUCGGCAGCCUGGGCUAGCAGUCGUAGUAUAACUGACAGGGUAGUAGCUAGCAGCCUGGGCUAGCAGUCGUAGUAUAACUUACAGGGUAGUAGCUAGCAGCCUGGGCUAGCAGUCGUAGUAUAACUGACAGGGUAGUAGCCAGCAGGCUGGGCUAGUAGUAAGGACCAGUAACUGACAGGGUAGUAGCCAGCAGGCUAGGCUGUAGUAAGGACCAGUAACUGACAGGGUAGUAGCCAGCAGGCUGGGCUAGUAGUAAGGACCAGUAACUGACAGGGUAGUAGCUAGCAGCCUGGGCUAGCAGUCGUAGUAUAACUGACAGGGUAGUAGCCGGCAGCCUGGGCUAGCAGUCGUAGUAUAUCUGACAGGGUAGUAGCUAGCAGCCUGGGCUAGCAGUCGUAGUAUAUCUGACAGGGUAGUAGCUAGCAGCCUGGGCUAGCAGUCGUAGUAUAACUUACAGGGUAGUAGCUAGCAGCCUGGGCUAGCAGUCGUAGUAUAACUGACAGGGUAUAACUUACAGGGUAGUAGCUAGCAGCCUGGGCUAGCAGUCGUAGUAUAACUGACAGGAUAUAACUGACAGGGUAGUAGCUAGCAGCCUGGGCUAGCAGUCGUAGUAUAACUGACAGGGUAGUAGCUAGCAGCCUGGGCUAGCAGUCGUAGUAUAACACUUACAGGGUAGUAGCUAGCAGCCUGGGCUAGCAGUCGUAGUAUAACUUACAGGGUAGUAGCUAGCAGCCUGGGCUAGCAGUCGUAGUAUAACUGACAGGGUAGUAGCUAGCAGCCUGGGCUAGCAGUCGUAGUAUAACUUACAGGGUAGUAGCUAGCAGCCUGGACUAGCAGUCGUAGUAUAUCUGACAGGGUAGUAUAGCUAGCAGCCUGGGCUAGCAGUCGUAGUAUAACUGACAGGGUAGUAUAGCUAGCAGCCUGGGCUAGCAGUCGUAGUAUAACUGACAGGGUAGUAUAGCUAGCAGCCUGGACUAGCAGUCGUAGUAUAACUGACAGGGUAGUAGCUAGCAGCCUGGACUAGCAGUCGUAGUAUAACACUUACAGGGUAGUAGCUAGCAGCCUGGACUAGCAGUCGUAGUAUAACUUACAGGGUAGUAGCUAGCAGCCUGGGCUAGCAGUCGUAGUAUAACUGACAGGGUAGUAGCCGGCAGCCUGGGAUAGCAGUCGUAGUAUAACUGACAGGGUAGUAGCUAGCAGCCUGGGCUAGCAGUCGUAGUAUAACUUACAGGGUAGUAGCUAGCAGCCUGGGCUAGCAGUCGUAGUAUAACUGACAGGGUAGUAGCUAGCAGCCUGGGCUAGCAGUCGUAGUA